rnacentral:rRNA from 1 species
AACCUACGGGGGGCAGCAGUAGGGAAUCUUCCACAAUGGACGAAAGUCUGAUGGAGCAACGCCGCGUGAGUGAAGAAGGGUUUCGGCUCGUAAAGCUCUGUUGGUAGGGAAGAAAGAUAGAGGUAGUAACUGGCCUUUAUUUGACGGUAAUUACUUAGUAAGUCACGGCUAACUACGUGCCAGCAGCCGCGGUAAUACGUAGGUGGCAAGCGUUGUCCGGAUUUAUUGGGCGUAAAGCGAGUGCAGGCGGUUCGGUAAGUCUGAUGUGAAAGCCUUCGGCUCAACCGGAGAAUUGCAU